CCGAAAAUUACUGAGCUUUAUAUAAAUUGUUAAGAACAAAUAAGACCAUUAUGUAUCAAUAUAAGUAUAAAUUUAAUUAAAGAAGCUACAUACUACCGCAUUCAUUUAUAUCUGAUUUAUUAGCUCGCUCAUCUAGUGAGUCUAUCUACUUCAGAUUUAAACUUAAUAAGGGAAAGCUUUAUUGUAACUAUCAUUACCUCACUCGCAAUUAUUUACAGGCUUUAAAGCAGCCCUACCACGUAAUAGUGAAUUUUUAUGAUACUACUUAAAAUACAAUCAUAGCUAAUAUAUUAUAACAAACUAUCUUAUCAUAAACAAUGAUAGAAUUACUAAUCAAUUUAUUUAAUAUGAUAAUUCAAAAAUCACUAUCAUAAACAUUUUAAUUAGCCCCAUAUAUAUAAUAAAGGAAUUCGGCAAAUAUUUUAUUCGACUGUUUAACAAAAACAUUGCCAUUAGCUUAAAUAAUUAAUGGUAACUCUGCCCAGUGAAACAAAUUCAACGGCCGCGGUAUUUUGACCGCGCUAAGGUAGCACAAUAAUGAGCCCUCUAAUUAAGGGAUGGAAUGAAUGAAUCAACGAAAUACCAACUGUCUCUAUUUAUACAAUUUUAAAUUUAUUUUUGGGUGAAAAAUCCCAAAUCUCCCCCAAAGACAAAAAGACCCUAUGAGCUUUUUUUUAAUAUUUAGUCAAUCUUAAAAAAUUUAAUUGGGGCGAUUAUAAGUAAUAAACACUUACAAAAAUCAGGACAAUAAGCCUCUAUCUUUAUCCUUAAACACAAAAGUAAGUUACUGUAGGGAUAACAGGCCAAUCCUUCUUUAGAGAACAAAUCGACAGAAGGGCUUAGCACCUCGAUGUUGGCUUAGGGCUCCGUAAUCACGCACAAGUAAUUUACGGGGGUUUGUUCAACCUUUAAUUCCCUACAUGAGCUGAGUUCAGACCGACGCAAGUCAGGUUAGUUUCUAUCUUGUGAAUAUAUUAAAGUAGUACGAAAGGACCCAUUAAU
rnacentral:rRNA from 1 species